UGUGUCGCUUCACUCCGCUCCGUGUGACGCUACAAACCGGCUUCACAUACCGGAUAACGGCUCCACAGUCACCAGGAUAUCAUGAAAAGACGCCAACAAACGACUGAACCUACCUGCGAUGUUUCCCGCCCCUCCUGUGGGCACCACCACCUCCAGCUCGGGCAGGUCUCCGUCAGCCUCCUCCGCCUGCUGCUGCACGCCGCUGAGCUGCAGGUAGGCGUAGAUGAAGUGAGCGAGCUGGACCAUGAUUCUGGACCAGUUCACAGAGUUCAGACUCAUGAGGCGGUAAGACUUCACCAGAUCCUGAUCCGCAAACAGACGCCGCAGAGGCUGGUCGAUGUCGUCCGAGCUGCCGUCCGCUACGGACACACACAAAAAAAAAAGAAACGACCAGCGAGUGUGAAAAAUGGAAUACAUAGCUUUGUGGUUAAACAGCAUCUUUUACUCCUUUAACUUCACCUGCGAACACGUGGACGUUAUCCUCCAAACAGGUGAUCAUGUGUUUCUCCUGAACCGGAGUGAUUCGUCCUCGAGGAUAAACCACGACCACGUCCAACCCGCACAGACCUUUAGCGCUCUGGAUGGCCGAGCCGCCGGUGUCUCCUGACGUUCCUGCAGAGGGGAAAGAUGUGACACUCUGCAUGCUCCUGAUGCUCAUGAAUGUUAUUAUUUUACAUUUUUAACCUCGAGCCCGACAGAACAAACAGCAUGAUGUCGGCUUUUCAGUUUCCAUUCUUAGCCGGAUCUUACAUGGAGCCCCAGGUGUUGGUUCUUACCUACAACCACAGUCGCCCUGUGCUUCUCCUUCUGCAGAAAGUAGUUGAGAAAGCGCACGGUGCAGGUCAUAGCCAGGUCCUUAAAGGCCAGCGUCUCUCCAUGGAAGAGCUCCAGGACUGACAGACCCCCCUUCAACCGGGCGAUCUGGACCACCUCAGGCACCGAGAAACCCGACAGAGCUUCACCCACCAAGACUGAGACAGAGGAUGGAGGAGAGGGGAUUAUCUUUUGUUCUUUAUUUUGAUAAUUGUUCUGCCUCGUGUUGUAACUUAAUUGUCUUUUUAUAACUUUUCUUUGCUCGACUUGUGAACAGGUUUCCUCUGCUCACCCUGCAGGUCGUCUCUGGGGAUCAGCUGAGUGGGGAUGAACAGCGAGGCGACCUCCACCACCAGCUGGGUGUAAUCCAACCCCCUCCAUCCUCUCAGGGUCUCCGGGCUGAGCACAGGUCCUUGUUAUGGACGCAAUCUAAACUGCUUUGUUCGGUGCACUCAUGACUGACAGUGAUGAGGACAGAAGCAAGACUCUAAAACAAGACUAACAAGUCAAGAACGAGACCUUAUACCUUCACACAGACGUGGCAAACUGCAGGUGUGAGCGGUGUUGUUGCAGCAUGCGCCUUGUGUUGUGUAACGCUGUAAAAUUGUGUGAAUGAAUGAAACACUCGACUCCGUCCAUCAGUCUGAGCAGCCCUUUCUUUCUGUGCUGUAAUAGUUAAGCGGUUGUAAUGAUGACUCUCCAUGAGGUCACAGUCUAUACAGUCGAUGAACCUUAUGACAGCAGCUCUGGGUUUAAGACGCCGUCACACAGACUGUAACACCCCUCUGACAUGAUAACACAGAGCAUACACAACACUUACCU